rnacentral:rRNA from 1 species
AUGGCAACCUUCAAGAUGAAUCUUGGUCCCUUCUUUUUGGUGGCUCUCAUGGUACUGGCUACUAUUGUGUCCCCAUGCCAUGCGAACAAUGAGAUACAUGCAGAUGCAAUACCACUACCUGAAAGUUGCUAUCCAAUGAAGUUUCCUAAAUGCACUAACAAGGCGUGCUACAAGUAUUGCAUAAACCCUGGAGGCUACUGCAAAGAUGUUGAUUAUUGUUGUUGCCCUAUGGAAUAA